AUGAUUUGUUUGAUUCCUGUUGAUUUCAGGACUCAAGCAUGUCAAAAUUGCUGCUGCAUUUGGUCUUUGUGGACAACCUCGGUUUCACUUUAUGCCUACUUCACAAGAAAAAUCCAGUUUAUCCAGGAAGCAAGCAGGGAUUCUCAAAACCCGAGGCGAAAUAAAAAUUCUUUACUUAGGUUGUUGUGAGUUGAUACAAUUUUACUACACAUAACAUUAACCAAUGAGUUCUAAUUAAGGUACUGUACAUGAAUAUCAGGCUAGCAAGAUGCAAGUCUUUGCUUACUCCUUCAAGCACUCAGAGAUCCCAAUUUUUAAAAAGUCCCCUUUUAUUCAUUUUAGCCUUUAUAUGAUUUAGAACUACAGCAAUCAUCAUUCGUAUUUAUUUCUGCACAACCUGAAUUGUGUCUAUGUUGUUAUCAUGCUAUAGCCUGUACAUACUACACCAACUCUAAUGACAACAAUCACCUGCAGGCAGACAUAGAAAUCUGUGUCAGUCCAGAUGGCUUUUCCUCACUGCCAGGAGCUUCUUUUCCACGGUAUAACAGUUUAGCUCCACAAAUCAUUGCCAGCUAAAGAAGGAAGGGAUACCAUUUUUUCUUUUAGUUUUAUUUUUAUCCCAAACUCUGACAAUGUAUCCACACUACACUACACACCUGCUUGUAUAUUAAUUUCUCUUCUCUCCUUUUGAAACUGUGAGCCCUGUCACUCUAUGAGAGAAGCUAGCUUCACAGAAGGUUCAGUAUCCUCACCAACCUCUAGUAUCAAGACUCCUUGAAAGAAACCAGCAAUACUGCUAGAAAGAAACCAUAGUACAGUAUAUAAUUGGUAUUUAUAGAUCACGCAGACAUGCCUUUGGACUAGAGCAGAGGUCUCAAACUCAGUUUACCUGGGGGGUCAAGGUUCCUUGAAAGAAACCAGCAAGACUCCUAGAAAGAAACCAUAGUACAGUAUAUAACUGGUAUUUAUAGAUCGCGCAGAAAUGCCUUUGGACAGAGGUCUCAAACUCAAUUUACCUGGGGG
rnacentral:lncRNA from 1 species